rnacentral:rRNA from 16 species
UGGCGUGGCGUGUGGAGCUCGGAGCGGCGCAGGGCGACUCGCGGGCGCCUGUCGCGGAGGGCGAGCCGCCGCUGGCAAAGCUCGACCUCACGCUCAAGGGCAAAGGCGAGGAGAGCGAGCAGGAGACGAUACGACUGGAGCU